rnacentral:sRNA from 1 species
AGCAAGGGCGGGGCAAGGCAGAAAUUCUGCCUUGCCCCGCCCUUUUU